rnacentral:rRNA from 1 species
UGCCAGACUCCUACGGGAGGCAGCAGUGAGGAAUAUUGGUCAAUGGGCUUACGCCUGAACCAGCCAAGUCGCGUGAGGGAAGACUGCCCUAUGGGUUGUAAACCUCUUUUGUCAGGGAGCAACGCCGGCUACGUGUAGCCGGACUGAGAGUACCUGAAGAAAAAGCAUCGGCUAACUCCGUGCCAGCAGCCGCGGUAAUACGGAGGAUGCGAGCGUUAUCCGGAUUUAUUGGGUUUAAGGGGUGCGUAGGCGGGCUGCCAAGUCAGCGGUAAAAUUGCGGGGCUCAACCCCGUCGAGCCGUUGAAACUGGCGGUCUUGAGUGGGCGAGAAGUAUGCGGAAUGUGUGGUGUAGCGGUGAAAUGCAUAGAUAUCACGCAGAACUCCGAUUGCGAAGGCAGCAUACCGGCGCCCGACUGACGCUGAAGCACGAAAGCGUGGGUAUCGAACAGGAUUAGAUACCCUUGUA